rnacentral:tRNA from 1 species
GGGGUUGUAGCUCAGUGGUAGAGCACUUGCCUCACACACGUGAGGGCCUGGGUUCGCUCCUCAGCACCA